UACAGAGGUCCCAAGCGUUGUUCGGAUUCACUGGGCGUAAAGGGUGCGUAGGUGGUCAGGUAAGUCGGAUGUGAAAUCUCCGAGCUCAACUCGGAAACUGCAUUGGAAACUACCUGGCUCGAGGGUUGGAGGGGGGGACUGGAAUGCUUGGUGUAGCAGUGAAAUGCGUAGAUAUCAAGCAGAACACCAGUGGCGAAGGCGGUUCUCUGGGACGGUACUGACGCUGAGACGCGAAAGCGUGGGGGAGCGAACAGG
rnacentral:rRNA from 1 species